UGGUGGGCAGUUUGACUGGGGCGGUCUCCUCCUAAAGAGUAACGGAGGAGUACGAAGGUGCGCUCAGACCGGUCGGAAAUCGGUCGCAGAGUAUAAAGGCAAAAGCGCGCUUGACUGCGAGACAGACACGUCGAGCAGGUACGAAAGUAGGUCUUAGUGAUCCGGUGGUUCUGUAUGGAAGGGCCAUCGCUCAACGGAUAAAAGGUACUCCGGGGAUAACAGGCUGAUACCGCCCAAGAGUUCAUAUCGACGGCGGUGUUUGGCACCUCGAUGUCGGCUCAUCACAUCCUGGGGCUGAAGCCGGUCCCAAGGGUAUGGCUGUUCGCCAUUUAAAGUGGUACGCGAGCUGGGUUUAGAACGUCGUGAGACAGUUCGGUCUCUAUCUGCCGUGGACGUUUGAGAUUUGAGAGGGGCUGCUCCUAGUACGAGAGGACCGGAGUGGACGAACCUCUGGUGUUCCGGUUGUCACGCCAGUGGCAUUGCCGGGUAGCUAUGUUCGGAAAAGAUAACCGCUGAAAGCAUCUAAGCGGGAAACUUGCCUCAAGAUGAGAUCUCACUGGGAACUUGAUUCCCCUGAAGGGCCGUCGAAGACUACGACGUUGAUAGGCUGGGUGUGUAAGCGUUGUGAGGCGUUGAGCUAACCAGUACUAAUUGCCCGUGAGGCUUGACCA
rnacentral:rRNA from 1 species